ACCAUAUAACACUUCUUCCCUAUUGACAGAGCUUUACGACUCGAAAGCCUUCAUCACUCACGCGGCGUCGCUGCAUCAGGGUUUCCCCCAUUGUGCAAAAUUCCUC
rnacentral:rRNA from 1 species